GAUUAUCGAAGGAUAAGACUAAGACCUUAAUUCAAUAAUC
rfam:Mangrovimonas yunxiaonensis strain LY01 contig7, whole genome shotgun sequence.